UACGGAGGAUGCAAGCGUUAUCCGGAUUUAUUGGGUUUAAAGGGUGCGUAGGCGGAUCAAUAAGUCAGUGGUGAAAACCUGCAGCUUAACUGUAGAUGUGCCGUUGAUACUGUUGGUCUUGAGUAUGGUCAAGGUAGGCGGAAUGUGUAAUGUAGCGGUGAAAUGCUUAGAUAUUACACAGAACACCGAUUGCGAAGGCAGCUUGCUGGGCCAUUACUGACGCUGAUGCACGAAAGCGUGGGGAUCGAACAGG
rnacentral:rRNA from 1 species